rnacentral:rRNA from 1 species
AUUGAACGCUGGCGGCAGGCCUAACCCAUGAAAGUCGAACGAGUGGCGGACGGGUGAGUAAUGUCUGGGAAACUGCCCGAUGGAGGGGGAUAACUCCUGGAAACGGUAGCUAAUCCCGCAUACCAUCGGAUGUGCCCAGAUGGGAUUAGCUAGUAGGUGGGGUAAUGGCUCACCUAGGCGACGAUCCCUAGCUGGUCUGAGAGGAGGACCAGCCACACUGGAACGGAGACACGGUCCAGACUCCUACGGGAGGCAGCAGUGGGGAAUAUUGCACAAUGGGCGCAAGCCUGAUGCAGCCAUGCCGCGUGUAUGAAGAAGGCCUUCGGGUUGUAAAGUACUUUCAGCGGGGAGGCGUUACCCGCAGAAGAAGCACCGGCUAACUCCGUGCCAGCCGCCGCGGUAAUAC